UCAUCUCCGGGGGUAGAGCACUGUUUCGGCCAGGGGGCCAUCCCGGCUUACCAACCCGAUGCAAACUGCGAAUACCGGAGAAUGUUAUCACGGGAGACACACGGCGGGUGCUAACGUCCGUCGUGAAGAGGGAAACAACCCAGACCGCCAGCUAAGGUCCCAAAGUCAUGGUUAAGUGGGAAACGAUGUGGGAAGGCCCAGACAGCCAGGAUGUUGGCUUAGAAGCAGCCAUCAUUUAAAGAAAGCGUAAUAGCUCACUGGUCGAGUCGGCCUGCGCGGAAGAUGUAACGGGGCUAAACCAUGCACCGAAGCUGCGGCAGCGUGCGUUGGGUAGGGGAGCGUUCUGUAAGCCUGCGAAGGUGGCCUGUGAGGGUUGCUGGAGGUAUCAGAAGUGCGAAUGCUGACAUAAGUAACGAUAAUGCGGGUGAAAAACCCGCACGCCGGAAGACCAAGGGUUCCUGUCCAACGUUAAUCGGGGCAGGGUGAGUCGACCCCUAAGGCGAGGCCGAAAGGCGUAGUCGAUGGGAAACAGGUUAAUAUUCCUGUACCUGGUGUUACUGCGAAGGGGGGACGGAGAAGGCUAUGUUGGCCGGGCGACGGUUGUCCCGGUUUAAGCGUGUAGGCUGGUUUUCCAGGCAAAUCCGGAAAAUCAAGGCUGAGGCGUGACGACGAGGCACUACGGUGCUGAAGCAACAAAUGCCCUGCUUCCAGGAAAAGCCUCUAAGCCUCAGGUAACAUCAGAUCGUACCCGAAACCGACACAGGUGGUCAGGUAGAGAAUACCAAGGCGCUUGAGAGAACCCGGGUGAAGGAACUAGGCAAAAUGGUGCCGUAACUUCGGGAGAAGGCACGCUGACACGUAGGUGAAGCGGUUUACCCGUGAAGCUGAAGUCAGUCGAAGAUACCAGCUGGCUGCAACUGUUUAUUAAAAACACAGCACUGUGCAAACACGAAAGUGGACGUAUACGGUGUGACGCCUGCCCGGUGCCGGAAGGUUAAUUGAUGGGGUCAGCGCAAGCGAAGCUCCUGAUCGAAGCCCCGGUAAACGGCGGCCGUAACUAUAACGGUCCUAAGGUAGCGAAAUUCCUUGUCGGGUAAGUUCCGACCUGCACGAAUGGCGUAAUGAUGGCCAGGCUGUCUCCACCCGGGACUCAGUGAAAUUGAACUCGCUGUGAAGAUGCAGUGUACCCGCGGCAAGACGGAAAGACCCCGUGAACCUUUACUAUAGCUUGACACUGAACACUGGUCCUUGAUGUGCAGGAUAGGUGGGAGGCUUUGAAGUGUGGACGCCAGUCUGCAUGGAGCCGUCCUUGAAAUACCACCCUUUAAUGGCUGGUGUUCUAACGUAGACCCGUGAACCGGGUUGCGGACAGUGUCUGGUGGGUAGUUUGACUGGGGCGGUCUCCUCCUAAAGCGUAACGGAGGAGCACGAAGGUUGGCUAAUCCUGGUCGGACAUCAGGAGGUUAGUGCAAUGGCAUAAGCCAGCUUGACUGCGAGCGUGACGGCGCGAGCAGGUGCGAAAGCAGGUCAUAGUGAUCCGGUGGUUCUGAAUGGAAGGGCCAUCGCUCAACGGAUAAAAGGUACUCCGGGGAUAACAGGCUGAUACCGCCCAAGAGUUCAUAUCGACGGCGGUGUUUGGCACCUCGAUGUCGGCUCAUCACAUCCUGGGGCUGAAGUAGGUCCCAAGGGUAUGGCUGUUCGCCAUUUAAAGUGGUACGCGAGCUGGGUUUAGAACGUCGUGAGACAGUUCGGUCCCUAUCUGCCGUGGGCGCUGGAGAACUGAGGGGGGCUGCUCCUAGUACGAGAGGACCGGAGUGGACGCAUCACUGGUGUUCGGGUUGUCAUGCCAAUGGCACUGCCCGGUAGCUAAAUGCGGAAGAGAUAAGUGCUGAAAGCAUCUAAGCACGAAACUUGCCCCGAGAUGAGUUCUCCCUGAGACUACAAGUCUCCUGAAGGAACGUUGAAGACGACGACGUUGAUAGGCCGGGUGUGUAAGCGCAGCGAUGCGUUGAGCUAACCGGUACUAAUGAACCGUGAGGCUUAACCUUACAACGCCGAAG
rnacentral:rRNA from 4 species